CGGUGGAGCGGUGGAGGGCGUCUCUGGGCUUCGGCGUCUGGCAAGGGGUUCAGCUGUCUGCUCCCUGGCAGCCGGCCUUCGGGUCGGCCGUCUCCGUCGGUGACUGCAGCUUGAGUUUUGCCGGUGUGGCCACGAGUCGGCACAACAUUCUGAAAUUUUUUGGUUAUUGUAAUGAUUUCGAUCGGGAGUUGAGAAAAUGCCUGAAGAAUGAGGGUCUCGCUCUGUCACCUAAGCUGGAGUGCAGUAGGGUGAUCGUAACUCA
rnacentral:sRNA from 1 species